UACGAAGGGGGCUAGCGUUGCUCGGAAUCACUGGGCGUAAAGGGUGCGUAGGCGGUUCUUUAAGUCAGGGGUGAAAUCCUGGAGCUCAACUCCAGAACUACCUUUGAUACUGAGGAUCUUGAGUUCGGGAGAGGUGAGUGGAACUGCGAGUGUAGAGGUGAAAUUCGUAGAUAUUCGCAAGAACACCAGUGGCGAAGGCGGCUCACUGGCCCGAUACUGACGCUGAGGCACGAAAGCGUGGGGAGCAAACAGG
rnacentral:rRNA from 1 species